GGAUCCUUAGCUCAGUUGGUAGAGCGGCGCCUUUACACGGCGAUGGUCAGGAGUUCGAGUCUCUUAGGAUCCACCA
rnacentral:tRNA from 1 species